rnacentral:pre_miRNA from 1 species
AGUGGGAUAGCUGGGUUAAAUGGUGGUUCCAUUCCAAGUUUUCUAAGGAAUUUCCAUACUGCUUUCCAGAAUGAUUGCACCAAUUUGCAGUCCCAUCAGCAAU